GUUGUCUGCUGCAAAUCAAGAAAAAAAAUUAACGUGUGAUGAAAAUAAUGUCGAAGAUACGACAGAUGUUACCGUGUCAGGUGAUGGCACGUGGAAAAAACGUGGGUUUGCAUCAUUAUACGGUAUGAAUCUGUAUGGAUUGUG